CGGGGUGAGUAACGCGUGGAUAACCUGCCUCACACUGGGGGAUAACAGUUAGAAAUGACUGCCAAUACCGCAUAAGCGCACAGUACCGCAUGGUACAGUGUGAAAAACUCCGGUGGUGUGAGAUGGAUCCGCGUCUGAUUAGCCAGUUGGCGGGGUAACGGCCCACCAAAGCGACGAUCAGUAGCCGACCUGAGAGGGUGACCGGCCACAUUGGGACUGAGACACGGCCCAA
rnacentral:rRNA from 1 species